rnacentral:lncRNA from 1 species
CUGAGUAUCUGGAAGAAUAUCAAUUUCAAAAUCAAUUUCCCUUUUGGGAGGAACUCCGGGAAGAUCUUCGGGAAACACAUCUGGGAAUUCACAUGCUAAUGACAUUGACCCAAGAGCAGGGGUUUCUGAACUAGAGUUCUGUACUUGAAUGAGAUGGUAGACACAUCCCUUAGAUAUCAUUUUUCUAGCCCAAAGGUAAGAAAUAAGCUGACCCCUAAGUGCUGAAGUACUACCCCUCCAC